rnacentral:rRNA from 1 species
GACGAACGCUGGCGGCGUGCCUAAUACAUGCAAGUUGAGCGCUGAAGGUUGGUACUUGUACCAACUGGAUGAGCAGCGAACGGGUGAGUAACGCGUGGGGAAUCUGCCUUUGAGCGGGGGACAACAUUUGGAAACGAAUGCUAAUACCGCAUAAAAACUUUAAACACAAGUUUUAAGUUUGAAAGAUGCAAUUGCAUCACUCAAAGAUGAUCCCGCGUUGUAUUAGCUAGUUGGUGAGGUAAAGGCUCACCAAGGCGAUGAUACAUAGCCGACCUGAGAGGGUGAUCGGCCACCUUGGGACUGAGACACGGCCCAAACUCCUACGGGAGGCAGCAGUAGGGAAUCUUCGGCAAUGGACGAAAGUCUGACCGAGCAACGCCGCGUGAGUGAAGAAGGUUUUCGGAUCGUAAAACUCUGUUGGUAGAGAAGAACGUUGGUGAGAGUGGAAAGCUCAUCAAGUGACGGUAACUACCCAGAAAGGGACGGCUAACUACGUG